CCUUCCGUCCCCUUUUUCUUUUCUCUUCCUCCUGUUUCUGACUCCCACUUUCGACGGCGAAUACGCUCGUAACCUGUCACACUUCUGCGUGCUCGCAUACGGAUUUCUCACUUCACUCGUGCCAGAUCUCCGUUCACGAUUGAUUCGUCUCUCUCCGGUCGAACGACACUGCCCGAUCAAACUGGAAGGUUGACGGAGCACCAAUGGGGAAGCACGACGAAUCAGAAUGAUCUAUUCUACGCGGGAAACCAGGCUGAUGGUUGCUCGUAAAGUUUCGAUUAGUUUCCACCAGACUUGGGCGUUAUCGAAUCAUGCGUUAUGUUAUUUCCAAAGAACGAAAAACGCUCAUCCAUUCCACCAACGCAAGGAAAUAAUGAUGUGCCGCUGCGAUUUAAGUUUCAUAAUGACUUCUUCUUGUUCACGGGAGUGGAUUAGGCGGCAGCCGCAAUUAACGUGAGCACAUAAUGUAAUUGCGUCGUUCGAUGUUAUUUUUCAGCCCGAUAAAAUAGGUUAAAAAAAAAAUGUUAUUUAGUAACAAGGUGGAAAAAAAUCACUUCUCGAAGAAGUUAUUCAACAUGCAAAUCGCGUUUAAUAAAAAUUUAAAGUGACAUUGUUCGAUACGACGAUUAAAUCCGUAUUUCUAAUUCCACCUUAUACUAAAACACUUUGCAAAUAAAUAUUUAUUGCAUUGUAUUACGAUCGCUGGGUACUUCGAUAUUGAAAUACUCUAUCGUAAGGCCGGGAAAGUGGCCAAUUGUCGGUCGCAAGCCAUAUUCGUGCAGAUUAACCUACUUCGAGCCCAUCUAAAAUGGCGGUAGCCCUUCAUUGUAAGACGUUGCAUCACGGUUUCUUCAAACGUUAACCGAUUAAUGUGUCUUCUUGCGUAUCUCUAUCAGCGCGCCAAACAUUCGGCCGAUCGACGUUGUAAAAAUAAAAUCCGAGUUUUCUUCGUCAAUACCAAUUAACUUCCACCUUGUGGCACAAUUACAUUUAAGCAUAAUGACAUAAUGUAACUGGCGCAGAAACCAGUUACGCGCGUCAGGUCGGAUUUGACACAUCUAUCAUUAUGCUUUCGUAAGGAAAUUAACGAAUGUUACGACUACGGUAAUCGCGUUAUUAUCGCGUUAUUUUUUUUUUCUUCUGCCGUGUACAUAGAGGAACACGAUGCAAAAUAGUUAGCGUCGUCGUUUUCCUCGUGUUACCAACCCCUCGCUACUCGACAUCUUGUUAUCUUUUCGCAUGAUUUACCACGUUUCUCGUUGGCAUCGCCACAUUUUCCUCCCGCGCCGCGCUGAAUUGAAGACUCUGGCCGCGGUUUACGAAGUUCCGCGGAUAGCUCGGAUUACCUCGUUCCGCCCCGACAAAUUUUACACCAGGUGUCUCCUUCCGAAGAAUAAAUUUAACGAAGGAACGUACCGAUUGGUGGCUCGUUAAAAACCACCUGAUACGUUCUACCGGCGACCUCCGACUAUCGCGGACCCUACGAAUGAAGAUUCAUGUUCCCGAGCACUCGUAUCGAAGAUAGUUUACGAUCCACCUAUUUUGCCAAUUAUUAUACGCCACAGGCACAAAGGAACCGACCCAUAACGAUUUUUCUUCGCGCAGUCGACGUUUCGAGGCUUUUUAUCGCGUAAAGUUUCCUUUUCACGAGCAACCCCAGGACCGGAUUAAUAUCAACUGUACACCCUUUAAUUACCAAAAGGAGUAAUCUAUAACUAUUGUAAAAAAGAAAUGAUAGAAAUCACCUCUUAAACAAUUCAUUUUAAAAGUCGUAAGUAGGCGGACUAUUUGACAAAUUUCCAUUCCCGUUUCUCGAAAAAGCGACACCCAACUAUGCAGAAAGGGAAAUCUUGCACAAUCUCGAGAACUUUAAAAAACAUUAUAUAUUAUACACGACCGCGCAUAAAUUAAUACGCAUACACGCGUUUAUUCUUUGUCCUUCUAUAUUUAGAAUGACAUUGGAACAUUUCGCUAAUUUUGUCGUUAAAAUUCUUACAAAAUCCCGAAUCGCUGUGGAGGUGAGUUGCCAAAAUCGUGCCGCUUCGAAUAUUCUAUUCGUGCCGAAAAAGGAAACGCGGUCGAAAAUGUGGAAUUGUUUUAUCCAGAAAUAAACGGGAAUGGAAACCACCUGUAAUUUACAAAAAUCUGGAAUUGAAAUCAAAACGAAAAUGAAAAAUAAUGCUGAUAAUCGACGUGUGUGUGGCCACUUGUUUGAAAUCGAAAGUCAUCCACGCGCUCGGAAUUUGAAUAGAACAAUUCAUAUUCAUAUUUCUCUAUAUGAAAAUGUUAGAAUUUUUAAAAUUGACCGAACACGGUUGAAAAAAUAAUCGGCGAAGUAGUGACACUGGCAGCUACAAUUUUAUCGAACCCAUAUUUUAAAGAAACACGCAACAAAAUUAUAAUUAAGCAGCUGAUGUAACCUUAAACAAAAAUUACCAACCCGAAUACCUGUCUAUCAAUACAAAAUACCGUAAAAUGAUGUCAGCGACAAAUUUUAUUGAUGUGAACCGCGAAAAAAGGCAACGAGUUAUGUUCAUUUUGUAAGUCACGUUUGGGGACAAUUUAACAGAUCCACAACUUUAUUUACGUGUCGCAUAAUCGGACUGAUCAACCAGGUGCGUGAUAGCUAACACGUUAAUCACGAGUUCAUAAAUCAUAGCGAUACGAUUUAAAAAACACGAUAGCCUC